ACGGGUGGAGUAAUGUCUGGGAAACGUGCCUGAUGGAGGGGGAGUAACUACUGGAACGGUAGCUAAUACCGCAUAACGUCGCAAGACCAAAGAGGGGGACCGUUCGGGCCGUCUUGCCAUCGGAUGUGCCCAGAUGGGAUUAGCUAGUAGGUGGGGUAACGGCUCACCUAGGCGACGAUCCCUAGCUGGUCUGAGAGGAUGACCAGCCACACUGGAACUGAGACACGGUCCAGACUCCUACGGGAGGCAGCAUG
rnacentral:rRNA from 1 species